UACGAAGGGUGCAAGCGUUAUUCGGAAUUACUGGGCGUAAAGGGUGCGUAGGCGGUUGUUUAAGUCUGUCGUGAAAUCCCCGGGCUCAACCUGGGAAUGGCGAUGGAUACUGGGCAGCUAGAGUGUGUCAGAGGAUGGUGGAAUUCCCGGUGUAGCGGUGAAAUGCGUAGAGAUCGGGAGGAACAUCAGUGGCGAAGGCGGCCAUCUGGGACAACACUGACGCUGAAGCACGAAAGCGUGGGGAGCAAACAGG
rnacentral:rRNA from 1 species